ACAUGGAUGACUGUUUGACAGCUGUAGCCUCAGAAGAACAGGCAAUAGCGCUUUCACAGUCUCUGAGAGCUCUAUGCAUGAGAGGUGGAUUUAAGCUGACAAAGUGGGUCAGCAAUAGCAGAAGAGUUCUGUCAUGUAUCCCUGCUGACAAGAGAGCGGCGGAGGUGAAGGACCUAGACCUAAGCAAAGAUGCUCUACCUACUGAAAGAGCUUUAGGAGUACAAUGGUGUACAGACACUGACACUUUCAAGUUCAGAGUGAAUGUGCCAGAAAGACCCAUCACUAGAAGAGGAAUACUCUCAAUAGUAAACUCAGUUUAUGAUCCUCUAGGCCUACUCGCUCCAGGCAUUCUCCCAGCAAAGCUGAUCCUGAGAGAGCUGUGUCAAGAGAAACUGAGCUGGGAUGAGGAUGUCGGCGAUAUACAUUCAAGAAGAUGGUUACAGUGGCUUUCUGAGCUCCAGGAGCUGUCCAGCUUCAAGGUGAGCAGAUGCAUCAAGCCUGACAACUUUGGUGUCACUCUGACAGCUCAGAUACACAAUUUUUCAGAUGUAAGUGAGAAUGGUUAUGGUACCGCCUCCUACAUCAUACUCACUAACAAAGACGGACAGAAGUGCUGCACAUUGCUCAUGAGCAAAUCAAGAGUUGCACCUCUGAAGAAAGUCACAAUCCCCAGGAUGGAACUGACUGCUGCAGUCAUCGCUGUGAAAGUGGAUCGACUAUUAAGACAGGAACUGGAAAUCAAGCUGGAAAAGUCUGUUUUCUGGACAGAUAGUCUGACUGUACUUAGGUACAUAGAGAAUGACGCUUCACGCUUCAAGACCUUCGUGGCAAAUCGGGUUUCAUACAUCCGAGAAGCUACUUCACCAUUUCAAUGGAAAUACGUGAAUAGUUCACUGAAUCCAGCCGAUAUAGCCUCGCGAGGUGUGAAGCUUACCAGCCUCAUCAAGAAUGAAAACUGGAUUCAAGGUCCACAUUUCCUUUGUAAAGACGAAUCUGAGUGGCCUGUCAGACCUGACAUACCUAGCACCAUGGAUGACGAUGACGGUGAAGUCAGAAGGACAGCACUCGUCAGUCUCAUCAGUACAGCCCAGGUUGAAGCCAUGAAGAAGCUGGUGGAAUACUACUCUGAUUGGCAC
rnacentral:lncRNA from 1 species